rnacentral:rRNA from 2 species
UGAGGAAUAUUGGUCAAUGGGCGGAAGCCUGAACCAGCCAAGUCGCGUGAGGGAAGAAGGCCCUGCGGGUCGCAGACCUCUUUGGACGGGGAGCAAGGCCGCCGACGUGUCGGCGGAAGGAGAGUACCCGUAGAACAAGCAUCGGCUAACUCCGUGCCAGCAGCCGCGGUAAUACGGAGGAUGCGAGCGUUAUCCGGAUUUAUUGGGUUUAAAGGGUGCGCAGGCGGCACGGCAAGCCGGCGGUCAAAUCGCGGGGCUCAACCCCGCCCAGCCGUCGGAACUGCCGGGCUAGAGUGGGCGAGAAGUGCGCGGAAUGCGUGGUGUAGCGGUGAAAUGCAUAGAUAUCACGCAGAACUCCGAUUGCGAAGGCAGCGCACCGGCGCCCUACUGACGCUCAGGCACGAAAGCGUGGGUAUCGAACAGG